AGAAUCAACGCUGGCGGCGUGCCUAACACAUGCAAGUCGAACGCGAAGGAAGACUUCGGUUUUCCGGAGAGUGGCGCACGGGUGAGUAACACGUGGGUAAUCUGCCUUUGGGUGGGGAAUAACGAUCCGAAAGGGUCGCUAAUACCGCAUAACGCAGCGGCACCGCAUGGUGACAGUUGUUAAAGGGGGGGAUCGAAAGACCUCUCGCCUAAAGAGGAGCCCGCGUCCGAUUAGCUAGUUGGUGAGGUAACGGCUCACCAAGGCUUCGAUCGGUA
rnacentral:rRNA from 1 species